rnacentral:rRNA from 1 species
GUGGGGAAUAUUGGACAAUGGGGGAAACCCUGAUCUAGCCAUGCCGCGUGAGCGAUGAAGGCCUUAGGGUUGUAAAGCUCUUUCAGCUGGGAAGAUAAUGACUGUACCAGCAGAAGAAGCCCCGGCUAACUCCGUGCCAGCAGCCGCGGUAAUACGGAGGGGGCUAGCGUUGUUCGGAAUUACUGGGCGUAAAGCGCACGUAGGCGGACCGGAAAGUCAGAGGUGAAAUCCCAGGGCUCAACCUUGGAACUGCCUUUGAAACUCCUGGUCUUGAGGUCGAGAGAGGUGAGUGGAAUUCCGAGUGUAGAGGUGAAAUUCGUAGAUAUUCGGAGGAACACCAGUGGCGAAGGCGGCUCUCUGGCUCGAUACUGACGCUGAGGUGCGAAAGCGUGGGGAGCAAACAGGAUUAGAAACCCGUGUAGUCC